rnacentral:rRNA from 1 species
CAACUCCUACGGGAGGCAGCAGUCGAGAAUCAUUCACAAUGGGGGAAACCCUGAUGGUGCGACGCCGCGUGGGGGAAUGAAGGGCUUCGGAUUGUAAUCCCCUGUCAUGUGGGAGCAAAUUAAAAAGAUAGUACCACAAGAGGAAGAGACGGCUAACUCUGUGCCAGCAGCCGCGGUAAUACAGAGGUCUCAAGCGUUGUUCGGAAUCACUGGGCGUAAAGCGUGCGUAGGCUGUUUCGUAAGUCGUGUGUGAAAUGCGCGGGCU